rnacentral:rRNA from 1 species
CGGGUGAGUAACACGUGAGUGACCUGCCCUUUAGACUGGAACAACUUACCGAAAGGUGAGCUAAUGCCGGAUGAGUUAUAUAAGUGCAUGUUUAUAUAGGAAAAGUUGGGGAGACCUGACGCUGAAAGAUGGACUCGCGUCCCAUUAGCUAGUUGGUAGGGUAAUGGCCUACCAAGGCGACGAUGGGUAGCCGGCCUGAGAGGGUGGCCGGCCACACUGGGACUGAGACACGGCCCAGACUCCUACGGGAGGCAGCAG